ensembl:lncRNA
CAGGGAAGCUGAGCACAAACAUAAAAUCGGUGCCAGUGGAAUAUUCCCUAAGGGCAAAGCCCUGUUUUAUCAUCUAAUCGCUAAUCUGAAGCUGUGUGAGUACAAAUGUGGCAACUGGAUAUACCUGUUUUUGUCAGCCUCUCUCCAGCCAGACUAAGUCAAGCCUUAGACUAAUUCAGUUACUCCGAGAUAAAUUCUGGCAGUAGCGGAACCUGAUACUCAUCAGAAAGACCACAGAGAAGACUGAAAGGAGGUCAUUCCUCUCAUCUCCUCAGCCUGCUGGUGCAGAUUUCCAACGUGCCCACAUUAUGGGAGUUUCUGUUUGUAUCCCACAGUAUGUUUGGCCUGAAGACCAUUGUGGAAAUAUGAGAUGACUUUUUAGACCUUUCUUCUAGCCUGAAGAAAGACGUUCUACUUAGGAUUAUCUUGCAAUCCAAUAAAUAAUAGCAGCUGGUCAGAAACCUGGUCUGUGAACACUGUUGGGAACACUGUUGUGUUUGUUUAAUUAUUUGUAAUAAUUUUAUUUUUGCAGGGAUAUGCUAAGUCUUUUCAAGUGCAAAAGGGAAAGAUGAAAAAAAGAAAAAAAAAAAAGAAAGUUUUGAUUUGAAAGGCCAAGUACAGAUCUUUGUGCUGACUUUCAUAUACUCUAGGACCUGCCCUUCUCUUUUUAUGCAUGAUCACAUACGCUCCAAACAUCUAAGAAGCUUCUGUUGGUGUUGGGGGUUAAAAUUCCUAGGAUUAGAAGCAGAGGUUUUGGAGUCAAGGGCCCCCACCUCUGGAAUUAGUUUUCCUUGGUUUCCUGCCAGUGUCCAUCCAGUAAGCUUCAGAACACAUGGGGAAAUGUUUAUAUUUGGGUUAGCUUCUCUCUAUUUUUAGAUGGUUUGGUUUUGCUUUGAAUUUUACUCUACAGAUGUGAAGAUGGUAGAUUGGCUAUUGUUAUUUUCUAAGAGAAUGAUUUAGCACUACCCAUUACGAGAAGGCUCCCGUGUCCUUUAUCAGUAAUCUUGUAAGAACAUGCUGCAGCCUGUGAAUGAAUAUUUGCAUUCUUACUUCCACAUCAUCAUUUUCCAACAUGUGCUACCGGGAUUACGUUGAGCCGAGCUGGAAAAGCUCCCAAGCCCAGAAUGUUGUACCCUGUGCGUGUUGUUGGCCCUGUUGUUUGGAGGGAACAGGACUGCAUGGACUGACAGGGGUUGGGUGAUUUGCUACCUACAUGUGCUCCUGCUUCGCACUGCAAGCAUCAUCUUUGUCAUACAGCAGGAUGUUUAAAUCUUUGUACCCCAAAAUGUGGACGAUCUUUAAAUGAUUAUAAAUAAAUGAUUGUAAGUAGUAUUUGGUUAUAAA